AGUGUCGUUUCGUCUCUCUCGCACGUGGGAUGCCUCUACGUGGGUUCUCCCGGUGGUUGACUCGUCCGUUUCGGUUUCGGAUGGCUCGUGUUCAGUGUGCUCGUUGCUCUAUGGAUGACACGAAGGAAGGAUUCGAAGAGAGAAAAGGAUUCAUCCGAGGCGAAAUUCGCGCGAUUCAGCGAUUGCUCGACGCUUGGCAGAAAUGAGGGAAGAUAAAGGUGACGGAUAAACGGGUUCUCCUCGUGAUUUAAGCGACAGCCGCCAAAUGAAACGAUGGACUCUCCACUUCGAUCCACUUCCGAAAGAACGAGCAGGAUGGAAUAGGAAAUUUUGUCAUAUCCAAUCUCGCGCGUCCUCGACCUUUCGAAUUUUUUCCUUCCCGCCAAUAACUCGAAAUAUUUGAAUUCGUAUCGGUUCCACGGGAAAAAUGUGAGGGAAAAUUCGUACGAACGUCGCUAUGGAUUAGCUAUACUUUGUGGGAAUAGUUUCAGGCCACCCGUCGAAUCGAGAUUUAAAAUUAAAAUUUUGAUUUCAAAUAAUAAUAAAUAAAUUAAAA